ensembl:lncRNA
UCCUUUCUAUAAGUUUAUUGAAGGUUUUACUACAACACAGUGGUUCACAUCCAGUACAGCAUAGUGAUGAGUCUACAGGAUAUAUACAGAAGUAAUCAUGUCUGACGCUACAGUAUAGGCAUACAGAAAGAAAUCAAACAAACAUGUCUCUGAACAAAGCCAGCGUGCACCUUUCUCUCUGCAUCUCACGCUGCUAUUAUCGUACUUACAAGAUUAACAAUAUAGAGCACAAGUAUUUUUUAAGAUAUGUUGAAAUCAGACAGAUAUAGUACACACUCCCCCCAUAUUCAGGUUUAUUACACUUAAAACAGGAUGUCAGGUAGAGGGUCUGCAGGGUUGUUCCAUGUGGUGGGAUGGAAAUGUUGUAUAUGUACAGUAUUUUCUGUAUUUUCUAUUCCUCUGCUGAGCCUUGAAAAGGAGACACUGACCUGAUGGGAAAAAUCACCACGUUAGAGGAGGAAGACGAUGGAGGCGUGAAUGUGAAGCCCUGAGAUGCCGUUAAUGCCAGUGAGAGCGACAGGAAGAGAUGGUUCUUUACAUCAGGGGUGUCCAACAUGAGGCCCGCGGGCCAAAAGCGGUCCUCCAGAGGGUCCAAUCCGGCCCUCAAAGUGGAAAAAUUCCAGAGAAGACAUUAACUGCAGAUUGUAAAUUAGUAAAACUAUAAAUUUAAAAUCAUUUCUAGACCAUGACAAGUUGUUUGGAUCAGAAACUAAAAUACUAGAUUGUUCAUUGUUUUGUCAUUUUGUGUUUCCUUUUUGUCUCGCUUGUGUUUUUUUGUCUUAUUUUUGUCAUUUUGUGUUUUGCUUUAUUCGUUGCUUUGUGUAUUGUUUGUGUCCUUUUGUGGUUUUUUGUCUGGCUUGUGUUGUUUGUCUACUUUUUUUGUCAUUUUGUUUCUCGCUUUUGUCAUUUUUUCCAUUUUUCCUUUUUUUUUGCUGCCUUGUAACUUGUUUGUCAAUUUUUUUUGGUCUCUUUACUAAUUUUAUUUUGUGUCAUUUGCCUCAUUUUUGUCAUUUUGUUUCUCAUUUUUGUAAUAUUUUGUCUCUUUUUUUCUGACUUUUGUCGUUUUGAUCAUUAAGUAAAAUCCUCUAUGGUUCAGUUCCAGGUGACUGCAAUCAGGUCAAAAGGCAAUGAAAUGAAAUUUAAAACGAACUCUUUCUUGCUUGUAAAUGUUGUUUGUUUUGCUACAUGCUUGAAUGCUCAUUCGUCCUUUAAUUCAGUUCAUUUUUCCUUCAUCUCCAAUCUAAGUCGUGCUGCUUUCCUCUAUCCUGAUUGGCUGGUCAGGAUUCGUAGCAGAAGAACAGCAACACGACCUGGCGACUAGUUUCCCAAACUGGUGGCUGCUCAGCUGGAAACUCACCUCUAAAAACUCUCUAAAACCACCAAAUAUCAUCCUGACAGUCCUAAAUAUGACUUUAAUUAUGUUUACAACCAAAAUAUGAGACAUAGACAACGUCACUCGUAAAGUUUAAAACCUUCUGUUACUCUUCUUCUUAAACUUCGUGUCGUCCUGCGGGUCAAAAUUGACCCAUUUUAAAGUUUGAAAAUGUGGGGAAAAAAAUAUUUUCACAGUGAAACUUCUGAUGUCCACAUUUUCAACAUUUUUGGAAAAUCUUUGAACAUUUUUUGGUGGAAAAAAAGAAAAGUUAAAAAUGU